GAUUUGAAAAGUUAAAAACCAACAUAUAACAUUUAACUAGUUACUAUGACUAUGCAAUGCAAAAUCAAGUAAUACACUAUGAUUAUGUUUCUUUAUUUCUGGGUUCAAAGCCAAGACCCUAACAUAAGUGUGGAGGACCAAGGCCAAAUGCUGGUGAUGUCAUACCUGCUGGUGGGAGUACAAAUGGACUGAGGUCCCAGUGCUGAGAAGAAAGUAUGUUAAUACGUGGCAAUUCUAAAGAGGGCUGCUGCUCCAUCUGUGUAAAACCUCCUGUGCUACAGUCCUUUCCGGAGACACAGUUGUAACUCUUGGAUGAAGGACUUCAGUCAACUUUUAUCUUUGGUGCUAAGCACAGGGCCUGGCAGGUAAGAAUUUGUUGAACGAGUGAGCGAAUGACUGAAUGACCCCGGU
rnacentral:lncRNA from 1 species